GAAUGAAAUGUUGACUUCGUCAACGUGAAAUAUUGGCCGAUGGCCAAUGUGAAAUAUCUGCUGCGCAGAUGUGAAAUAUUCG
rnacentral:sRNA from 1 species